UUAUGAAGUUGUCUCCACAAGUUUCUAAGUUGAGGCCUCAACUUGCAAAGUUGUUCCCGCAAGUUAUUAAGUUGAAGGAAUAACUUAGUAAGUUAAAUGAACAAAUUACAAAGUUGAGGCUUCAACUUAAUAAGUUUUGGGAACAAGUAAGGAAGUUGUGGCCACAAGUUACUAAGCUGAGGUCUCAACUUAAUAAGUUGUGGGGACAACGUACUUAGUUGUUUCCACAAGUUAUUUUAAAAGUUGUUUCCACAAGUUAUUAAGUUGAAGCCACAACUUAUGAAGUUGUUCCCUCAACUUUAUAAGUUGUUCCCACAAGUUACUAAGCUGAGGCCACAAUAUAAAUAAAGAAUUGCGGUUGUCACCUCUGUGCCACCGUGUAAAACAGAAAAACACGCAUUGCUUUGCUAUAUCUAAUGGAAAACAGUGGAAUAAUUUAUUCUAUUGAAACGAUAUCUAUUACAAUUAGCUGUCCAAUUUGCCGAAACAUCACAUAAAUGCAAGUCUAAAUGACGAAGAUACAUUUAACAGCAGAUUUAUUAACUUAACGUCAAAUUAAUUCCAUACGAACAUGCUCUAUCACGAGACACUUUUAAAAAUGUUAAAAAUAAUAUUUAUUUGAUUUUGUGCAAGAAAUGUUUAACAAAAAUACGUCUCUUGAAAACUUGUGUUUUUGUAAGUUCGGCAUUUUGAAUUGGGACCAUCGAUAUGCUAAAAAAGCCGAAAGAAAAUUCAAUUUUAAUUCUAUUUUAACAACUUUUUACCAACAGAAAGUUACUUAUUAGAUCACUACAAACGUUUUAACCAUUUAGAAGAGACCUACUUUAUAACCUCCAAAAAGAGAACUCAGAUCAACAUGCACAAAUUCGCCAUCUGUCUCUGCCUCUUUUUUGGCUGCUUAGCAUUUACCCAAGCGCAAAUAUUAGGAAAUACCGGAUAUUAUGGCCGCCAGAGACAGGUCUUUCCCCAAGUCCGUUAUUGUUACGACUUCGUAGGUCGUCCUGUGACCCCAGGACAGCAAUACAGUAACGAUGGAUGUAACACUUGUAGGUGUGGUUACAACGGACAGGGCGCCUGUACACUGAUGGCAUGCAACCCCAGUAUUCGUGGUCACAGGGAAGGAUAUGUCAGGAAUUGGUAGACACUCCUCGACUUCAAUGAUUUGUCUAGUUUUAUUUCAUCCACGACGAUGCAUUUUGAAUCACCUCAUUGUUUUCUAUUAUUAAACGUGCAAUAUGUA